AAAUGAAUAGACGGGGGCCCGCACAAGCGGAGGAGCAUGUGGUUUAAUUCGAUGAUACGCGAGGAACCUUACCCGGGCUUGAAUUGCAGUGGAAUAACUUGGAAACAGGUUAGUCUUCGGACCACUGUGAAGGUGCUGCAUGGUUGUCGUCAGCUCGUGCCGUGAGGUGUUAGGUUAAGUCCUGCAACGAGCGCAACCCUUACACUUAGUUGCCAGCACGUUAAGGUGGGAACUCUAAGUGAACUGCCUACGCAAGUAGAGAGGAAGGUGGGGAUGACGUCAAAUCAGCACGGCCCUUAUGUUCGGGGCUACACACGUGCUACAAUGGUCGGUACAGAGGGCUGCUACCCCGCGAGGGGAUGCUAAUCUCCAAAGCCGAUCUCAGUUCGGAUCGGAGUCUGUAACUCGACUCCGUGAAGUUGGAUUCGCUAGUAAUCGCACAUCAGCCAUGGUGCGGUGAAUACGUUCCCGGGCCUUGUACACACCGCCCGU
rnacentral:rRNA from 1 species